rnacentral:rRNA from 1 species
GAUGAACGCUAGCGGGAGGCCUAACACAUGCAAGCCGAGCGGUAUUGUUUCUUCGGAAAUGAGAGAGCGGCGUACGGGUGCGUAACACGUGUGCAACCUGCCUUUAUCUGGGGGAUAGCCCUUCGAAAGGAAGAUUAAUACUCCAUAAUAUAUUGAACGGCAUCGUUUAAUAUUGAAAGCUCCGGCGGAUAGAGAUGGGCACGCGCAAGAUUAGCUAGUUGGUGAGGUAACGGCUCACCAAGGCGAUGAUCUUUAGGGGGCCUGAGAGGGUGAUCCCCCACACUGGUACUGAGACACGGACCAGACUCCUACGGGAGGCAGCAGUGAGGAAUAUUGGUCAAUGGGUGCAAGCCUGAACCAGCCAUCCCGCGUGAAGGACGACUGCCCUAUGGGUUGUAAACUUCUUUUGUAUAGGGAUAAACCUACCCUCGAGAGGGUAGCUGAAGGUACUAUACGAAUAAGCACCGGCUAACUCCGUG